rnacentral:misc_RNA from 1 species
GAUGAAGAACGCAGCGAAAUGCGAUAAGUAGUGUGAAUUGCAGAAUUCCGUGAAUCAUCGAAUCUUUGAACGCACAUUGCGCCCUUUGGCCAUUCCAUUGGGCAUGCCUGUUCGAGCGUCAUUUAAACCUUCAAGCCCUGCUUGGUGUUGGGUGCCUGUCCCGCCCCCGCGCGUGGACUCACCUCAAAUCCAUUGGCGGCCCCCGCAAGGCCACGAGCGCAGCAGAAACGCAAACUCGUGUGCCCGGCGGGCGGCUCCCAGAAGCUACACCCACCAGUUUGACCUCGGAUCAGGUAGGGAUACCCGCUGAACUUAAGCAUAUCAAUAAGCGGAGGA